UGGCGAUGCGUCUUAAGCAUGCAAGUCGAGCGGGCUUAUUCGGGCAACUGGAUAAGUUAGCGGCGAACUGGUGAGUAACACGUAGGUAAUCUGCCGUGAAGUGGGGGAUAACCCAUGGAAACAUGGACUAAUACCGCAUAUACUCUUGCUACAUAAGUAGAGUAGAGGAAAGUUUUUUCGCUUCACGAUGAGCCUGCGGCCUAUUAGCCUGUUGGUAGGGUAAUGGCCUACCAGCUACGAUAGGUAGCCGACCUGAGAGGGUGACCGGCCACAUUGGGACUGAGAUACGGCCCAGACUCCUACGGGAGGCAGCAGCUGAGAAUCUUCCACAAUGGACGAAAGUCUGAUGGAGCGACAUCGCGUGAGGGAUGAAGGCCUUCGGGUUGUAAACCUCGGAAAUUAUCGAAGAAUGAGUGACAGUAGAUAAUGUAGCCUCGGCUAACUACUGC
rnacentral:rRNA from 1 species